rnacentral:rRNA from 1 species
UCGAGAAUCUUCGGCAAUGGGGGAAACCCUGACCGAGCGACGCCGCGUGCGAGAUGAAGGCCUUCGGGUUGUAAAUCGCUGUCAGAGGGGAGGAAAUGCCGGUGGGUUCUCCCAUCGGUUUGACCUAUCCUCAGAGGAAGGACGGGCUAAGUUCGUGCCAGCAGCCGCGGUAAGACGAACCGUCCAAACGUUAUUCGGAAUCACUGGGCUUAAAGGGUGCGUAGGCGGCCCGGCAAGUUGGGUGUGAAAGCCCUCGGCUCAACCGAGGAAUUGCGCCCAAAACGGUCGGGCUUGAGGGAGACAUAGGUGAGCGGAACCUAGGGUGGAGCGGUGAAAUGCGUUGAGAUCCUAGGGAACACCAGUAGCGAAAGCGGCUCACUGGGUCUCUUCUGACGCUGAGGGCACGAAAGCCAGGGGAGCGAAGAG